rnacentral:rRNA from 1 species
UACGAAGGGGGGCUAGCGUUGCUCGGAAUCACUGGGCGUAAAGCGCACGUAGGCGGAUUGUUAAGUCAGGGGUGAAAUCCUGGAGCUCAGCUCCAGAACUGCCUUUGAUACUGGCGAUCUUGAGUCCGGGAGAGGUGAGUGGAACUGCGAGUGUAGAGGUGAAAUUCGUAGAUAUUUCGCAAGAACACCAGUGGCGAAGGCGGCUCACUGGCCCGGUACUGACGCUGAGGUGCGAAAGCGUGGGGAGCAAACAGG